rnacentral:lncRNA from 1 species
GAGGACCGUAUUCAUGGAAGAGGAUCGAACAGAGAUGAAGUAGACAGUAUGUUGGAUAAAUCUGAAGACAUGAAAUAGGCAGUAUGUUGGAUAAAUCUGGAGGUCUCUGCUAAGAAAAACUGAGAACUUCACUGAAGAACAUCAACAACAAAUUUUGUGAGCAGUAUAUAACUACAUUUCAGAAGUCUUAUAUGGAUGUACAGAAAUUCAAUGAGGAAAAAGAAAAAUCAGUGAAUAGUUGUCAAAAAGAACAACAAGCAUUGAAACUGUCCAAAUGUAGUCAGAACCAGACCCUGGAAGCAGGUAAAGAAAUGCAUGAGAAGUCCAUGGAGCUGCAUCAUUGGACUCAAACUGAAUGGUCCAUGUGUUGCCACUGAUGUGAGCCAUU